rnacentral:rRNA from 1 species
UUUUUAAAAACAUCGCUCUUUGUUUAGUCUAUAUAUAGGGAGUAGUACCUGCCCAGUGAAAUGUUUAAACGGCCGCAGUACCCUGACUGUGCUAAGGUAGCAUAAUCAUUUGCCUUUUAAUUGGAGGCUGGAAUGAAUGGUUUGACGAAAAUUUUACUGUCUCUUUUAUAUUAUCUGGAAAUUAUCUUUUAGGUGAAGAGCCCUAAAUUUAGUUAAAAGACGAAAAGACCCUAUCGAGCUUAAAGGUUUAAUGUAAAUUUAGGUAUUUGUAGAAUAAAUUUUUUUUAGUUUAACCUUUUUGUUGGGGUGACAGAAGAACAUAUCUAGCUUCUUUUAUUUUCUUUAACUUAUAUGUUUAAACAAUCUACUAUUAGUAAAUUAAAAAAAGUUACCGUAGGGAUAACAGCGUUAUUUUUCUGGAAAGUCCAAAUUGAAGGAAAAGAUUGCGACCUCGAUGUUGGAUUAGAAAACCAAGUAGGUGAAGAAGCUUACCAAAGGAGGUCUGUUCGACCUAUAAUUUUCUACAUGAUCUGAGU